rfam:Gemmatimonadetes bacterium 13_1_40CM_4_69_8 13_1_40cm_4_scaffold_7, whole genome shotgun sequence.
AACCGAUUCCGUGGUGAUUUGCGGCGUAUUGCGGCCACGUAAAACAAUCCGCUAAAAGGCCUGCCCGUUGCGGCU